AUCCGCGGCCAGAGAACCGUCAAAGUACCCCAUCUCGUCCGCCCCGGGGGGUCAAGCACGCUGUCGCCUCGUCAGUAUCGCGGUGGGGGACCCCGUGGGAAUCCGAGGCGCUGCAGUUG
rfam:Pseudozyma flocculosa PF-1 unplaced genomic scaffold scaffold00013, whole genome shotgun sequence.